CCCAAGCGCCCGGUGUGCAGUGGAACAGCGUCCUGCAUCCUUCCAGCAACCAGUCAGGCUUUGUGCGAGACCCAGGUUACUUGCAGAGGAAUGCUCAGAUGGCCCAGCACAGCUCUCCCCAGCCCGGCUCAGCCUUAUUUCUCCACCUGCCUUCUGGAGGACAGAUGCACGCUGCAGUGUGGCCACAUCAGCAGAACUGCAUGGGAAGCCACAGACCCCAGGCCGUGCAGCAGAGCCCUCAAGGAGCUUAUCCCGUGUGGCCCAACUGCAGCGCUCUGCCCAGUGCCAACUUCUGCAGCGCAGGGCUGGGAGGAAGUCUGAACCCGGCGGCAGCAGGGAGCCAGUUGCGUGGCAGUGUUCCUCCUCAGCUGGGGGCAGGGAUGUGCCCCCCAGCAGGUGGCAUGGCUCGCAGAGCACCAGGAGCAGCCGCCGUGUGUGCUGCUGCCAACGCCAUCCAGAGCUGGUGAGGCACGAACAUUCCCUCGGUCUCGACGUAUUCAAUCCAUUCCCUCUGUCGUAGCUGGCUUGGAAAGCCAUGGCUGCAGUAACCCA